rnacentral:rRNA from 1 species
UACGAAGGGGGCUAGCGUUGUUCGGAUUUACUGGGCGUAAAGCGCACGUAGGUGGAUAGUUAAGUGAGGGGUGAAAUCCCAGGGCUCAACCCUGGAACUGCCUUUCAUACUGGCUAUCUUGAGUUCGGAAGAGGUGAGUGGAAUUCCUAGUGUAGAGGUGAAAUUCGUAGAUAUUAGGAAGAACACCGGUGGCGAAGGCGGCUCACUGGUCCGAUACUGACGCUGAGGUGCGAAAGCGUGGGGAGCAAACAGG